GGUUAAGCGAAUAAGCGUACACGGUGGAUGCCUAGGCAAUCAGAGGCGAUGAAGGACGUGCUAAUCUGCGAAAAGCGUCGGUAAGGUGAUAU
rnacentral:rRNA from 2 species